CCCCCCGGCCCUGUCAGCCGCCCCCCCCCAUCUCCUGUCCCCCUGCGGAAACGGAGGAGCGUCUCCGAAAGCGGUCCCGGUGCCGUUAGGCCCCCUCAGGGCCGAGGGCGCAGCGAGGUGGGGCGUUCUGCGGGCAGCUGCGCCGGCUGGAGGGGCGGCUCUUCCCCCACCGCAGCGGUUUGCUGCCUUGCCCCUGCCAGGGUUACCGCCCCCGCGGCUCUGUGUUGCUUCAGGCACGGGGACGGCUUUCCUGAGGGUUCGCGGUGCCUCCGCGAUUAAGGCGGGGUAGGAGAGCGCUCAGGUCAGCCUGGAGCCCGAGCCUGUCAUCUCUGAGCCUGAUCACAGCAGUAACCUCUGUAGAAGUCGUUCUUGAAGCCUGGUGUCCUUUGUUUCCGUACUUAACCAGGUCUCCAGGGAGUGCUGCAUCGAGUGAUUUCUCUCUGUGUGAGGGAGAAGGAUGAGCUUUCUCCCUGCAGCCUGAGAUGCAAGGACCAGCUUAUGUAGAACAUGGAGGAAGAAGCACCAGAAAGAGAAGGGAAGAAUUUGUCAGAAGGCUCAGAAAGUCAUUCUUACCUGCCUGACUGGGGUGGUAACUACAUUUAUGAUGCCGUGCAAAGAAGAAUAUUUCAAUGGAAUGGUAGUUUAAUUUUAUAAGUAUAGAAUUGUUUUAUCAUGAAACGAAAUGUAUUUAUAUAUAUAGAUAGAUAGAUAUUCUAAUCAUAAAAUUGUUGACCCUAAAACCUAUAUAUUGUUAAAGCUUAGCAGCUUAUGUAACAUUUUAAAUUCCAUUCAUUUAUUAAUUGAAGAUUUUUUAGCUUAUUGUACAGGGUGGUUAUAUUAAGUAUUCUGUGCAUUGCCGUGGCACUGUAGACAUAAGCUGUGCUAUGAGGGCUGUUUCCAGUUUCUUAUGACCACAUCUAAAUUUUGGUGGAAGAUGUGGGUUUUUGGCCUCUGUCUCAAGGUUCUGUCACAAGAUUCUGUCCUCUCUGCAGUCCCAAGUGCACCUUUCUAGCUGAUGAUUUUGAGCUAAGAAGUUACUUUAGAGUAGCUACUUGAGCAACUUACAAUUGGGUACCAUUGGCUGUUGGGCUGCAGCAAAUAUCUGAAAACUGACCUGCAUCAGUGACUUGGUACAUAUGCCAGAAAAAGCUUUGUUUACAAUGUGCUCAUCAUUAUUGUUAUCAUUUUAAAACCAAACCAAGCCAAACAGGCUUCUUCCUCUCCUCAGCAGAACUAUGCAAAAGACCUCCUUGUUCUAGACAUACUCACUAGAAUAUGCCAAUACGAGUGCUCUACUUUCAACUCAAGUAUGGUGCCUUGCAAUGUAGUGCCUUGUUAUACUCCAGAAUAUUUUAAAAAGUUGUACCUAAGAUUUGCCAACAGUAGUAAUAAGUGCUGGGACAGUACGUGAAUAGGGGGAGGAUCACUGGGUUAAAAAACACAAAGGCAAAGAUGUAAAGUCAAUAUAUCAGAGCAACUCACUUAAGCAACUCACGUAAUGAGCUUCUUUAAUUCCGAAGCCAACACUUUAAUGUUAGCUAGAGAUUUUGUAUUUAUGUAGUCACACAGCAGAGGAUUUAAGUGACACCAUAUCAGCUAGUCAUGUUUCACACCAAGCAAUGGAGCUAUACAUGUGACUGGAGAAGAAAUUUUUGACUAAAUAAUGUUACGGAAAUCUUGUAAACCAAAGGUGAUGGUAGUUUUGCCUUCUAGUUGAAGCAGCUGAAUGAUUUCUUAACUGUUUGCAUAUGAUGUCACUUUCAUUCUGGGGUACUAUAAUGCCAUUGCAGAAUAAUGGUCCAAAAUAUUCAAGCUUUCAAUGAAGCCCUUUGAUUUUUCAGAACAUUUCCACAGAUGGUGAGUGUGCAUUUUAGUGCUUAUAAGAAAGCAGAAUACCAGCUCAACUCUAAUGUCUGUUGGAGUAGGUAGUCAGAUUUCCAUCAGUGAUGCAAAUAGUGAGUUAUCUGUAUGUUAAUGGCAGGGGAGUCCCCAUCCGUGAGGCAAUGUAUACGUACGAAGUUAUAAAUCAGUAUCUUCAGACCUUAAUAGUUCACCCUAGAGUGGAUAAGUUGCAGGCUGAGCAGGGCUAAACGCUGGCUUCUGACAGGCAUUGUUUUGUUCCGAGUCAGUUGCUUGGGGCUGUGGUGACAGCUGCUGACUUUGCAAAUAGCGGGGCUGGUUGGGGAUGUCAGAAUAUCAUCUCUUCAUUGUCGGCCUUGCUGCUGAAGAGUAUCGCCCUGAUAAAUCUUAUAAUGGAAGUAAGUGUGCUUACCUCAUCCUCUACAGUCACAGCUAAAAGGUUUGAUUAAAACAGCUGAUGACCUUGCCAGUGGGACUCAUGUGAGUGUUCAUGCAAGCUCUUUUGUUAGCAGGGCUCUGCAAGUGAUAACCUGCAACGGAUGGGUUAUGAGGAGACACCAGAAGUGGUGGCAAUUUCAUCCUACACACCUAGAUCUGAAAGAGGAUAUGCAUAUGCAGAAAAGUUUGUUCUUACUCAUCCUGCUUCAAUUUAUAUUGGUAUAACUAAAAGAAUACAACUUCCUCUUCCCUGAACACAACUAUUACCAGUACAAUUUUGUGUCUCAGCUGUAAGUUUUACUAGAAUAAGGAAUCUUAAUCUCUGUGCUAGGAGGUCUGUGUUCAUCUAACAGUUUUGCUCAACACAUCUCACCCUUUACUGAAUUUGUUUUGUGGCUAGAAAAAAACAAGACUUAAAAAGCUAUGUAGGCAAGUAUUCAUGUGAUUUCCCAACAGUGUUGCUCUUGAUAGGUAAAUAAUUUAAAAUGUUAAAUAAGAAUAUCUUUU